rnacentral:rRNA from 1 species
UGGGUAACCUGCCUCAAAGAGGGGAAUAGCCUCCCGAAAGGGAGAUUAAUACCGCAUAAUAUGUUUAAGUCGCAUGACUUUAACAUCAAAGGAUUUUUCUUUUAAGAAAAUUCCACUUUGAGAUGGACCCGCGACGCAUUAGCUAGUUGGUGAGGUAACGGCUCACCAAGGCGACGGACGGGUAGCUGGUCUGGAGAGGAUGGCCAGCCACAUUGGGACUGAGACACGGCCCAGCUCCGUAGGGAGG